CCUACGGUGUGCAGCAGUGAGGAAUAUUGGUCAAUGGGCGCAAGCCUGAACCAGCCAAGUAGCGUGAAGGAUGACUGCCCUACGGGUUGUAAACUUCUUUUAUAAAGGAAUAAAGUGAGGCACGUGUGCCUUUUUGUAUGUACUUUAUGCAUAAGGCUCGGCUAACUCCGUACCAGCAGCCGCGGUAAUACGGAGGAUCCGAGCGUUUUCCGGAUUUAUUGGGUUUAAAGGGAGCGUAGAUGGGUUUUUAAGUCAGUUGUGAAAGUUUGCGGCUCAACCGUAAAAUUGCAAUUGAUACUGGCAUCCUUGAGUACAGUUGAGGUAGGCGGAAUUCGUGGUGUAGCGGUGAAAUGCUGAGAUAUCACGAAGAACUCCGAUUGCGAAGGCAGCCUACUAAACUGCCACUGACAUUGAUGCUCGAAAGUGUGGGUAUCAAACAGGAUUAGAUACCCUAGUAGUC
rnacentral:rRNA from 1 species